UUAAAAUUAGUGGAACUUAGCACAAAUAACAUUGACACGGUGUAGUUUGAAUAUGACAACAUUUCGCCCACAUGGUAACCAAAGCCACCAGAAGUGUAUUCAGUGUGCUUACAAGCCUGGUGCGCCGACAUGCAUCCAUAAUAGCCGAACUUAAAUAGAGUAUAGGGUAUGUGAAAAUAAAGUGAAUAGUUUAUGAAUACCUUUGUUAUGUCUGUCCGAGUGUAGUCAGCUAUUAGAAGAUAAUGGAGCGUAAAUAUGCAAGUACCCCCCUUGUUAACGCAUAGGAGGAAUGGGUGUUUUUAAGUAUUCAACAACAGAACUCUUCCCGUCCCCGUCUCGGACACUGCACGGAGACUCCCGGUCAUGUCUCCAGCUCUUUGAAAAGGUGAAACGAAUAAGAUUAAAAUGGACAAAGAAUUUUCUGUAAGUGUAUCAUUAAGAUUUUAAUCCACAGAUCGGGAAGAGAGCUGAACGGAGAGAGAGAGAGAGAGGGGUGACAGUGAAUGAGAGCAGCGGGAAGAAGGCUAUAGCACGAAAACAGGAGAGAAAAAGAGAACGUGGACAGCAGGGUAUUAAACGAAGAAGCACCCAGCGACAACUAUUAGGCUAUAGUGGACGGGAAACAUCGGUACCUGAAUUUGGCUAUCACCAGCCAGGGAGUGAGCGGCUGUGCAACAUGAUCGUGCCAUAUUUAAAUGAACGUCGUGGCAAGUCCCCCUUCGUUUGGAAUAAAGAGCAUCACCGUGUCACACGGUCAGAAUCGACAAGUCUUCUCCUCAUGUCAUCUUAAGAAAUAAUAAAAGAGGAAGAAAAUACUGUUUAUCAAAACUCCAGGUUAGGUUGGUACACCUGUGAUUUAUGGAUUGUGUACAAGGUAAGGAUUGCUAGUAGGAGCUUGUGUCUGCAGGUAAAGCGCUAGACAGACCAACGUGCACAGCGGCCCGAGCCCGGUAGAUCACCUGCUGGGUGUUAAUAAACAGUGGCGAUUCAACAUGUACAAUCAUCUUGAAAUGAACAGAACAUGUCCGAUGUUCUGUAGUCAGAGCUGAUAGGAAGGCCACCAGCUGCACAUGGACAACAGUUGCGCCGGACUGUCUUGGUCUUAAAAGACAGGUACUGUCUGCAGUUGAAGAUAUGUACUGUGUUAUGAGUUAUGCCUGCUCUUCUGCCCUCACUGCCCUGGCCUGGCAUGGACCCAGAAGACAUAUCCUUAACAGAGUGUAUUAACCUCACUCAGUUAACCUUGACCCCUUCUACCCAGCAGCUCACACAGCCCCGAUGGUCAGUGGAAGCAGAGUAGAUUCAUUAUGAGGAUGGUGUUGUUGCUUUUAAGAAGCUAUACAUGAAAUAACAUUCUCAAGACCUAAUGUAUUUGUGAUGCCAUUAGUGUUUUAUUGUCAAUGUUCUUAUUGUCAUAUUUAGAAAUGAAUGUGCAGCUGUAUUAAACUGUGCUGGGCAAAAUGA